GUGCAGCGCGCCCGCCAGACCGCCCAGGAGGCGGCGGCUAUUGUUCCCCGCAGGGGCCCGGGGCGCCCUGAAACGGGGUCCACGUCAGCCCGCUCCCGAGCGUGUCCUCAGAUCUGGGGACCCUUCACCUGCCUCUACUACUGCAAAUGAUUGGAUAUUCGUCUGCCUUGGCUCUUCCCUAAUGUGUGGAACUAAUUUUGUUCACUCUGUUUCAUGCUGGACCUGGCCUGAAAAUGGGCCCUUAUAUUGUCUUUGCACUUUCCAACUUGCCAAGUUUCUGAAAGAAGGACCAAAGUAAUGCCAAGAACUCCCAGAUGAAGAGGACCUUCCUUAGACCUAUAACAGAUUCACUACUUGACUUUAGAGGGAAGUUUCAGCUAAUUCUCAGGAAAAGGUCAAAACAGGCCUGUGACUGUCCCUUGAAUACUGAAGGUAUAAACAAGCUUCUGGCUCCUCCAGGUCAAGCAGAGGAACACUUUUAUUAGAAUGAAGGGUUACUUCUUUGUUAUUCAAACACACACCCACACACAUCCUCUGUAGUCUCCCUAAUGAAAAACCUCAACAGAUGGAGAGCCUGAGCU
rnacentral:antisense_RNA from 1 species